UACGGGGGGGGCAAGCGUUGUUCGGAAUUACUGGGCGUAAAGGGCUCGUAGGCGGCCAACUAAGUCAGACGUGAAAUCCCUCGGCUUAACCGGGGAACUGCGUCUGAUACUGGAUGGCUUGAGAUUGGGAGAGGGAUGCGGAAUUCCAGGUGUAGCGGUGAAAUGCGUAGAUAUCUGGAGGAACACCGGUGGCGAAGGCGGCGUUCUGGACUGCAACUGACACUGAUGAACGAAAGCCAGGGGAGCAAACGGG
rnacentral:rRNA from 1 species